CCUACGGGCGGCAGCAGUCGAGAAUCAUUCACAAUGGGGGAAACCCUGAUGCAGCAACGCCGCGUGAGUGAUGACGGCCUUCGGGUUGUAAAGCUCUGUCUUCAGGGACGAUAAUGACGGUACCUGAGUAUGACUCCACGGCUAACUCCGUUCCAGCAGCCGCGGCAAUACGUAGGUGGCGAGCGUUGUCCGGAUUUACUGGGCGUAAAGGGAGCGUAGGCGGACUGUUAAGUGAGAUGUGAAAUACUCGGGCUCAACUUGAGUGCUGCAUUUCAAACUGUAAGUUUAGAGUGCAGGAGAGGAGAAUGGAAUUCCUAGUGUAGCGGUGAAAUGCGUAGAGAUUAGGAGGAACACCAGUGGCGAAGGCGAUUCUCUGGACUGUAACUGACGCUGAGGCUCGAAAGCGUGGGGAGCAAACAGGAUUAGAUACCCUAGUAGUC
rnacentral:rRNA from 1 species